UACAGGGGGGGCAAGCGUUGUUCGGAAUUACUGGGCGUAAAGGGCUCGUAGGUGGCCAACUAAGUCAGACGUGAAAUCCCUCAGCUUAACUGGGGAACUGCGUCUGAUACUGGAUGGCUUGAGUUUGGGAGAGGGAUGCGGAAUUCCAGGUGUAGCGGUGAAAUGCGUAGAUAUCUGGAGGAACACCGGUGGCGAAGGCGGCAUCCUGGACCAAUACUGACACUGGGGAGCGAAAGCCAGGGGAGCAAACGGG
rnacentral:rRNA from 1 species